rnacentral:rRNA from 1 species
GAUGAACGCUGGCGGCGUGCCUAAUACAUGCAAGUAGAACGCUGAAGGAGGAGCUUGCUCUUCUGGAUGAGUUGCGAACGGGUGAGUAACGCGUAGGUAACCUGCCUGGUAGCGGGGGAUAACUAUUGGAAACGAUAGCUAAUACCGCAUGACAACAGUUAUUGCAUGAUAACUGUUUAAAAGGGGCAACUGCUCCACUACCAGAUGGACCUGCGUUGUAUUAGCUAGUUGGUGAGGUAACGGCUCACCAAGGCGACGAUACAUAGCCGACCUGAGAGGGUGAUCGGCCACACUGGGACUGAGACACGGCCCAGACUCCUACGGGAGGCAGCAGUAGGGAAUCUUCGGCAAUGGACGGAAGUCUGACCGAGCAACGCCGCGUGAGUGAAGAAGGUUUUCGGAUCGUAAAGAUCUGUUGUAAGAGAAGAACGAGUGGGAGAGUGGAAAGUUCACACUGUGACGGUAUCUUACCAGAAAGAGACGGCUAACUACGUG